CUGGAAACGGGCAUGGCCUCUCAUGACCAGGGCUUUGGACAGCUGACCUAGGCACAUGAGGGCGCGCUUGCAGCCUUUGCCCUUCUGUGCUAUUUGUGGGAGCAAGAUGUCAUCCAGAGCCACAGCCACAGCUCUGUCGACCUCAUCUGCAGCGCAGCAGCAGCAGCAGCAGCAGUCAUUAUUGCCGUCCACCAGCAUAGCAAUUUAAACUGUUGUAAGGUGAAUUAGCAGUAAAUGAUUGAGCUUUCCAGGAUAUCAUGCGGGCAACUUUCAGACGUCGCAGCAAGCUGUUCCACGCUGAUGAGAUUUAAGUGUUAAUAUCACGAAAGCGGCAUGUAAGGGGAGUGGGCAACAGCAAUGCUUCUGAGCACCUUUGGGAGUCUUAUUUAUGGCUGACGCUGCCGCAGCAGCAACUGUGGACGCAGCAAAAUUAUCCUCCAUUCCCAGAGCUAACUCCAGCAAUGCUCGCAGCAUCUGCAGGCGCGCCUCUUCUGCAGCAAAGGCUGCCGGCAGCACGGCCAGCGCUGCUGCUGCAGGAGCAACCUCCUGUGCUACCUCCGCAUGCGGCCCUGGAAUGCCACGAAAAUAAUCAUGUACAGCAUUAGGAGGGCACAGCAUGAGAGCUAGGGCUGCGAGCCUUGUGAAGGUCUUGGGAAAAGGGGGCUAUAUUCCAAUUUUAACUGUAGUAUACUUCUAUUGACAGAAAUGUUCAUCAUUCGAGCAUACUCACGGCUAAUUACAUGUCCCAGAGUAUGAAUGCAGUACACACUACGUAGUAACAUGCAUGAGGUCUGCAUGCCAGGUAUGCACGUGUACUUGCAAGAGGAAGAGGAUGAUCACUCACGUGUGGCAAGGGAUGCAGCGCCAGACGUGACAGUGCUACAGGCAGCGCGUGCAAUCUUUGCAUCCCUUGUACCGCUGCAGACGCUGGUUGCCACCUGAGACAGGGUGGCUGCGUCGUGCAGGGCCGCGCCAGAGAUGCUGCUCUUUGCCU
rnacentral:lncRNA from 1 species